CCGACGGGGAAAGCGAUCUCCCCGCGAGGCGACAUGCCCAAGAAUCGCGUCCUGAUCACGAAGGGCGCAGCAUG
rfam:Bradyrhizobium sp. BR 10245 contig66, whole genome shotgun sequence.